GCCCUCAUAGCUCAGGAGGUAGAGCACACCCUUGGUAAGGGUGGGGUCAUGGGUUCAAAUCCCAUUGGGGGCU
rnacentral:tRNA from 1 species